CUUGAGCGAGCCGAGCCAGAGCGGCUGCCCCUCGGGGCGGUCCUGGCCGUACGUGGCCAGCAGCGCCCCCGCCUC
rnacentral:antisense_RNA from 1 species